UUCUUAUCCAGAGAGGUGGAGGGACUGGCCCUUUGAAACCUCGGCAGCGGAACUGAUGGAAUUCCAUCGGAAACCGUGCCAAUUCCAGCAGGUGCAUCGCACUUGAAAGAUGAGAA
rnacentral:ncRNA from 1 species